CAAACCUCAAGCCUUGCUUGGUGAUGGGCCCCGCCUGCACGGCGGGCCUGAAACUCGUGGGCGCCCCUUACCGGACUCCAAGCGUAGCAAAACCCUCGCUUGUGGACGAUCGGUGGGAGGCCGCCCCGGACCCCAAAUUUUUAUCAAU
rnacentral:misc_RNA from 1 species